rnacentral:rRNA from 1 species
UACAGAGGUCUCAAGCGUUGCUCGGAAUCACUGGGCGUAAAGGGUGCGUAGGUGGCAUGGUAAGUCGGAUGUGAAAUCCCGGGGCUCAACCCCGGAACUGCAUUCGAUACUGCCAGGCUAGAGUACUGGAGAGGAGAUUGGAAUUUACGGUGUAGCAGUGAAAUGCGUAGAUAUCGUAAGGAAGACCAGUGGCGAAGGCGGAUCUCUGGACAGUUACUGACACUGAGGCACGAAGGCCAGGGGAGCGAACAGG